rnacentral:rRNA from 1 species
GACGGAGGAUGCAAGCGUUAUCCGGAAUGAUUGGGCGUACAGCGUCCGCAGGUGGCAGUUCAAGUCUGCUGUCAAAGACCGGGGCUUAACUUCGGAAAGGCAGUGGAAACUGAACAGCUAGAGUAUGGUAGGGGCAGAGGGAAUUCCUGGUGUAGCGGUGAAAUGCGUAGAGAUCAGGAAGAACAUCGGUGGCGAAGGCGCUCUGCUGGACCAUAACUGACACUCAGGGACGAAAGCUAGGGGAGCGAAUGGG